GACGAACGCUGGCGGCGUGCCUAAUACAUGCAAGUCGAACGAACCGCGACUAGGUGCUUGCACUUGGUCAAGGUGAGUGGCGAACGGGUGAGUAACACGUGGGUAACCUACCUCAUAGUGGGGGAUAACAGUCGGAAACGACUGCUAAUACCGCAUAGGACAUAGGAUCACAUGAUCCAGUGAGGAAAGGUGGCGCAAGCUAUCGCUAAGAGAUGGACCCGCGGUGCAUUAGCUAGUUGGUAGGGUAAAGGCCUACCAAGGCGAUGAUGCAUAGCCGACCUGAGAGGGUGAUCGGCCACACUGGAACUGAGACACGGCCCAAACUCCUACGGGAGGCAGCAGUAGGGAAUCUUCCGCAAUGGACGGAAGUCUGACGGAGCAACGCCGCGUGAGUGAAGAAGGUCUUCGGAUCGUAAAGCUCUGUUGUUAGGGAAGAACAGCGCAUAGAGUAACUGUUAUGCGUGUGACGGUAUCUAACCAGAAAGCCACGGCUAACUACGUG
rnacentral:rRNA from 1 species